GACGAACGCUGGCGGCGUGCUUAACACAUGCAAGUCGAACGGGAUUUCGUAAACAGAAACCUCGGUGGAAGAUUACUAAUGAGAGUGGCGAACGGGUGAGUAACGCGUGAGCAACCUGCCUAUGACAGUGGGAUAGCCUCGGGAAACCGGGAUUAAUACCGCAUAAAAUCGUAGAAACACAUGUUUUAACGGUCAAAGAUUUAUCGGUCAUAGAUGGGCUCGCAUCUGAUUAGCUAGUUGGUGAGAUAACAGCCCACCAAGGCGACGAUCAGUAGCCGGUCUGAGAGGAUGAACGGCCACAUUGGAACUGAGACACGGUCCAAACUCCUACGGGAGGCAGCAGUGGGGAAUAUUGCACAAUGGGGGAAACCCUGAUGCAGCGACGCCGCGUGAACGAAGAAGGUAUUCGUAUCGUAAAGUUCUGUCCUAUGGGAAGAUAAUGACAGUACCAUAGAAGAAAGCUCCGGCUAAAUACGUG
rnacentral:rRNA from 1 species